GACUUGCUCACGGCUACGCAGCUAGUUCGGGACCUCAUUUUCUCUUUGCUUUUGGCAGAAGUUUAAUUCUGUCUGGUUGAAACUGUGGGGACCCUGAGGAAUUUGGCAGAUAUCUGGAAAGCUGAAAUCAGAAAGCAUAAUGAACUACUGUUUGCAAGCUGGUGGGCACAAGACAAACGCACGUAACUUCUACAGGGCAGCUGAGAGAUACUCAGGAUGCCUCCGGGGGGGGCCUGCAAAGGGCCUGGACACCACACUCCCUGGAGGGGAGGGGGCCGUGAGAACCCGGGUUCCACAUUUCCUCAAAUGGUUGGAACAAAGCCCGAGGGCACAGGCGUCUCUAAGUUGGCACCGAGCGUGAUAAGUGGGCAAGAUAAACGUGUGGCCCCUCGAGCACGGGGCAGAGGGGAUGUGAGACGAGUAAGACAGUGCCCCUGCCUGCACGGGCUGCCAACUGGCGCAGGGAGACACCUAGAGAAAGAGAGUUCCAUUACGAUGCAGUAAGGCCGAGACAUAGCUACAGAAAACCUUUUUGUUCAAAAAGCCGCCAGGAAGGGGAUUUGUGACUGAGAAGACGCUGUGUGACGAAGGGCAGGAACGACCUGAUUAAAGCCCGUUCCCAAAAUGUUACGUUCAGACCGACAUGCAACAAUAAAGGCAGAGAACGAAAGACUAUAUCUUAUCUUUAUCUUAUCUGUCUCAAAUUUAGGAACGGUAAGUUGCCACACUUGGUCCCUUGAUAUUUUCCAGGAUCUUCCUCCCUCGCAGUGUGAACAAGAUGUCUAGGGUAUGUUUUGCUUUGCUGCAGACAACGUUCACCUUGAGCCUUAUUUCUGCACGCAUGGGCACGCGCGCGCGUGUGUGCACACGUGUGUGUGUGUGUGUGUGUGUGUGUGUGUGUGUUCCACCAUCUGAAGGUUCAGUCAUCUCUAACCUAAUAACCAGGAGCUGUUGACUCUACCUUCUGGAUCCUACCAGAGCCACAGGAUGCUGUGAAUGUGCACGGCUUGGAACGUUCCCACCUUCCGUUAGGGGCUCAGAUCCAGAGGAGUGACUCACGCUUCUCAGAUGUAGGAACAGAAAUGUUGUGGCUGCACUGAAAGGUAUGCGGAAGGAAAUCAGCAGACGCCUGAACUUCAGCCAGGGGGACGAGCAAGGAUGAUCGCACAGGCCCCAGUGCGGCAGGAGGGGGGAGCCCCUCCUCUGACCUUCUGGAAGAGGCCGAGGCAUCCAGCUUGGGUUCAAAUCCCAACUCUGCCUCCUGGACGCUGGGGGACAUUGGGCAAGUCACUUGGCUUGUCUGAUCCUUUGUUUUCUCAUCCUUCAAAUGAGGACAAUAUCUCUCUUGCAAGUUGUUGUAAAGAUUGUGAUAUUUUAUAUAAACAUAAGUAUACAUAUAUAUA